AUACACCUGGCAGGGGGAGAUACCAUGAUCAUGAAGGUGGUUCACCCAGGGCGAGGCUCAGCCAUUUGCUUUGCUUCGGUUGUGCUGACCGUGCAAUUCACAGUAUGGGAAUCUCGACUGCAUAAUUUGUGGUAGUGGGGACUGCGUCCGCUCUCCCUAA